rnacentral:rRNA from 1 species
UUGCCAGACUCCUACGGGAGGCAGCAGUGAGGAAUAUUGGUCAAUGGGCGCGAGCCUGAACCAGCCAAGUCGCGUGAGGGAGGACGGCCCUACGGGUUGUAAACCUCUUUUGCCGGGGAGCAACGGGCGUCACGUGUGGCGCCACUGAGAAUACCCGGAGAAAAAGCAUCGGCUAACUCCGUGCCAGCAGCCGCGGUAAUACGGAGGAUGCGAGCGUUAUCCGGAUUUAUUGGGUUUAAAGGGUGCGUAGGGCGGAUCGUAAGGUCAGUGGACAAGUUGGGGGCCCCACCCCCUUCCCGCCAUUGAAACUGGCGCUCUUGAGUGGAAGAGAAGUAUGCGGAAUGCGUGGUGUAGCGGUGAAAUGCAUAGAUAUCACGCAGAACCCCGAUUGCGAAGGCAGCAUGCCGGCUUCCGACUGACGCUGAAGCACGAAAGCGUGGGGAUCGAACAGGAUUAGAUACCCGGGUACCA